rnacentral:lncRNA from 1 species
AUCUGUAACCAAAGUUCAAUCCAGAACUGGAAGAUGCGUACUAAGUGUUUGAUGAAAUGCUUCACUGUCUCCGUCGGCGCCGGCGUGAUGAUGAUUGGUGAUGCCAACACAUUCAUCCCAAAAAUAUAAUUAAUAGAAGUAUAUUAAGAUACUCAAUAAAUUAAGUACGUAAAGACUGAAAAGAUAAAAACUUUUCCUCAAAAAAAAUAAAAAAGUUAAAACCUACUCCCUGCAUAUAUAUAAAUAAAAAAAGAGCAAACAUAGUGAAACUUAAUCUAAAUAUCAUGAAUGCCGACAUGAUAGCUGGGGACCUGGGGUCUCCUAACACCACAUAAUCAAGAGAGGAAAAAGAAGAUAUAC